GAUGAACGCUGGCGGCGUGCCUAAUACAUGCAAGUCGAGCGAACGGACGAGAAGCUUGCUUUUCUGAUGUUAGCGGCGGACGGGUGAGUAACACGUGGCUAACCUCCCUACAAGACUGGGAUAACGUCGGGAAACGGGAGCUAAUACCGGAUAAUAUUUUGAACCGCAUGGUUUAAUAAUGAAAGACGGUCUUGUUGUCACUCAUAGCUGGCUCCUCGCUGCAUUGGCUGGUUGGUAAGGUAACGGCUUACCAAGGCAACGAUGCAUAGCCGACCUGAGAGGAUGAUCGGCCACACUGGAACUGAGACACGGUACAAACUCCUACGGGAGGCAGCAGUAGGGAAUCUUGCGCAAUGGGCGAAAACCUGUCGGAGCAACGCCGCGUGAGUGAUGAAGGUCUUCGGAUCGUAAAACUCUGUUAUUAGGGAAGAACAGAUGUGUAAGUAACUGUGCACAUCUUGACGGUACCAAAUCAGAAAGCCACGGCUAACUACGUG
rnacentral:rRNA from 1 species